UACGUAGGGUGCGAGCGUUAAUCGGAAUUACUGGGCGUAAAGCGUGCGCAGGCGGUUUUGUAAGCCAGAUGUGAAAGCCCCGGGCUUAACCUGGGAAUGGCAUUUGGGACUGCAAGGCUGGAGUGUGGCAGAGGAGACUGGAAUUCCUGGUGUAGCAGUGAAAUGCGUAGAUAUCAGGAGGAACACCGAUGGCGAAGGCAGGUCUCUGGGCUGACACUGACGCUCAUGCACGAAAGCGUGGGGAGCAAACAGG
rnacentral:rRNA from 1 species